GACGAACGCUGGCGGCGUGCCUAACACAUGCAAGUCGAACGGGGUUUAUAAUGGAAGAUCCUUCGGGGUUGGAAGUUUUAACUUAGUGGCGAACCGGGUGAGUAACGCGUGAGAAACCUGCCUUUCAGUGGGGGACAACAGUUGGAAACGACUGCUAAUACCGCAUAAUGUAUUUUAGGGGCAUCCCUUUUGAUACCAAAGCUUAAUGUGCUGAAAGAUGGUCUCGCGUCUGAUUAGCUAGUUGGCGGGGUAAUGGCCCACCAAGGCGACGAUCAGUAGCCGGUCUGGGAGGAUGAACGGCCACAUUGGGACUGAGAUACGGCCCAGACUCCUACGGGAGGCAGCAUGGGGAAUAUUGGGCAAAUGGGGAAACCCUGACCCAGCAA
rnacentral:rRNA from 1 species